AGCGAACGCUGGCGGCAGGCUUAACACAUGCAAGUCGAGCGGACCUUUCGGGGUCAGCGGCGGACGGGUGAGUAACGCGUGGGAAUGUGCCUUCCGGUUCGGAAUAACCCUGGGAAACUAGGGCUAAUACCGGAUACGCCCUUAUGGGGAAAGGUUUACUGCCGGAAGAUCGGCCCGCGUCUGAUUAGCUAGUUGGUGGGGUAACGGCCUACCAAGGCGACGAUCAGUAGCUGGUCUGAGAGGAUGAUCAGCCACACUGGGACUGAGACACGGCCCAGACUCCUACGGGAGGCAGCAGUGGGGAAUAUUGGACAAUGGGCGCAAGCCUGAUCCAGCCAUGCCGCGUGAGUGAUGAAGGCCUUAGGGUUGUAAAGCUCUUUUAUCCGGGACGAUAAUGACGGUACCGGAGGAAUAAGCCCCGGCUAACUUCGUG
rnacentral:rRNA from 1 species